rnacentral:misc_RNA from 1 species
UUUCCGUAGGUGAACCUGCGGAAGGAUCAUUACAGAGUUCACGCCCUCACGGGUAGAUCUCCCACCCUUGAAUAUUUAUACCUUAGUUGCUUUGGCAGGCCGUGGAAACACCAUGGGCUCCGGCUUAUGCGUGCCUGCCAGAGGAAACAAACUCUGUUUUUAGCGAUGUCUGAGUACUAUAUAAUAGUUAAAACUUUCAACAACGGAUCUCUUGGUUCUG